rnacentral:rRNA from 1 species
AGAGUUCGAUUCUGGCUCAGAACGAACGCUGGCAGCGUGGAUUAGGCAUGCAAGUCGAACGAGAAACCAUUGAACAAUCUUUCGGGAGAGUGAUAUGGUGGAAAGUGGCGGAAGGGUGAGGAACACGUGGGCAAUCUGCCCUUGAGUUGGGGAUAACUCGGCGAAAGCCGGGCUAAUACCGGAUGUGGUCGCUUGGCGCAUGUCAAGCUGAUUAAAGGUGGGGAUCUUUCGAGACCUGCCGCUCGAGGAGGAGCUCGCGUCCCAUCAGCUUGUUGGUGAGGUAAUGGCUUACCAAGGCUUACGGGUAGCUGGUCUGAGAGGAUGGUCAGCCACACUGGGACUGAGACACUGCCCAGACUCCUACGGGAGGCUGCAGUCGAGGAUCAUUUGCAAUGCGCGAAAGCGUGACAAUGCGACGUUGCGUGGAGGAUGAAGGCUUUCGGGUCGUAAACUCCUGUCAUUCGGAAAAAACAAUUUCGUUGUUAAUACCAGCGAAAAAUGAUGUUACCGGAAGAGGAAGCCACGGCUAACUCUGUGCCAGCAGCCGCGGUAAUACAGAGGUGGCGAGCGUUGUUCGGAUUUACUGGGCGUAAAGGGUGCGUAGGUUGUUCUGUAUGUUGGAUGUGAAAUCCCACUGCUCAACAGUGGAACUGCAUUCAAAACUGCAGAGCUAGAGUACAGGAGAGGAGAGCGGAAUUCUUGGUGUAGCGGUGAAAUGUGUUGAUAUCAAGAAGAACACCGGCGGCGAAGGCGGCUCUCUGGAAUGUUACUGACACUGAGGCACGAAAGCUGGGGGAGCAAACAGGUUUAGAUACCCUGGUAGUCCCAGCUGUAAACGGUGUGCACUUGGUGUGGGAGGAAUUGACCCCUCCCGUGCCGGAGCUAACGCGUUAAGUGCACCGCCUGGGGAGUACGGCCGCAAGGCUAAAACUCAAAGAAAUUGACGGGGGCCCGCACAAGCGGAGGAGCAUGUGGCUUAAUUCGAUGCAACGCGAAGAACCUUACCAGGGCUUGACAUGCAGCUGCACGUCUGCCGAAAGGUGGAAAGCUUUCGAAGGUGCUGCACAGGUGCUGCAUGGCUGUCGUCAGUUCGUGCCGUGAGGUGUUGGGUUAAGUCCCGCAACGAACGCAACCCUUGUGUUUAGUUGCCACCGCAGGUGAUGAGCCUGCGAGCACUCUAGACAGACUGCCCGUACAAGCGGGAGGAAGGUGGGGAUGACGUCAAGUCAGUAUGGCCCUUACGCCCUGGGCUGCACACGUGCUACAAUGGUCGGUACAGAAGGAUGCAAGACCGCGAGGUGGAGCAAAUCCCCAAAACCGGCCUCAGUUAGGAUUGGAGUCUGCAACUCGACUCCAUGAAUUCGGAUUCGCUAGUAACGGCGCAUCAGCUACGGCGCCGUGAAUACGUUCCCGGGCCUUGUACACACCGCCCGUCACAUCAUGAAAGCCGUCUGCACCCGAAGUCGUUGAGCCAAUCCGUCUUAUGAUGGAAGGCAGGCGCCGAAGGUGCGGGUGGUGAUUGGGAUGAAGUCGUAACAAGGUA